UGCUCCUUGGGUGGCGAGUGGCGGACGGGUGAGGAAUACAUCGGAAUCUACUCUGUCGUGGGGGAUAACGUAGGGAAACUUACGCUAAUACCGCAUACGACCUACGGGUGAAAGCAGGGGAUCUUCGGACCUUGCGCGAUUGAAUGAGCCGAUGUCGGAUUAGCUAGUUGGCGGGGUAAAGGCCCACCAAGGCGACGAUCCGUAGCUGGUCUGAGAGGAUGAUCAGCCACACUGGAACUGAGACACGGUCCAGACUCCUACGGGAGGCAGCAGUGGGGAAUAUUGGACAAUGGGCGCAAGCCUGAUCCAGCCAUACCGCGUGGGUGAAGAAGGCCUUCGGGUUGUAAAGCCCUUUUGUUGGGAAAGAAAUCCAGCUGGCUAAUACCCGGUUGGGAUGACGGUACCCAAAGAAUAAGCACCGGCUAACUUCGUGCCAGCAGCCGCGGUAAUACGAAGGGUGCAAGCGUUACUCGGAAUUACUGGGCGUAAAGCGUGCGUAGGUGGUCGUUUAAGUCCGUUGUGAAAGCCCUGGGCUCAACCUGGGAACUGCAGUGGAUACUGGGCGACUAGAGUGUGGUAGAGGGUAGCGGAAUUCCUGGUGUAGCAGUGAAAUGCGUAGAGAUCAGGAGGAACAUCCAUGGCGAAGGCAGCUACCUGGACCAACACUGACACUGAGGCACGAAAGCGUGGG
rnacentral:rRNA from 2 species